AUUGAACGCUGGCGGCAGGCCUAACACAUGCAAGUCGAACGGCAGCACGGGAGCUUGCUCCUGGUGGCGAGUGGCGGACGGGUGAGUAAUGUAUGGGGAUCUGCCUGAUGGAGGGGGAUAACAACUGGAAACGGUUGCUAAUACCGCGUAAUGUCGCAAGACCAAAGAGGGGGACCUUCGGGCCUCUUGCCAUCAGAUGAACCCAUAUGGGAUUAGCUAGUAGGUGAGGUAAUGGCUCACCUAGGCGACGAUCCCUAGCUGGUCUGAGAGGAUGACCAGCCACACUGGAACUGAGAGACGGUCCAGACUCCUACGGGAGGCAGCAGUGGGGAAUAUUGCACAAUGGGGGAAACCCUGAUGCAGCCAUGCCGCGUGUGUGAAGAAGGCCUUAGGGUUGUAAAGCACUUUCAGUCGGGAGGAAGGUAAUAAAGAUAAUACCUUUAUUAAUUGACGUUACUGACAGAAGAAGCACCGGCUAACUCCGUGCCAGCAGCCGCGGUAA
rnacentral:rRNA from 1 species